UGGUGAUAUCAGCACCUACGGCUACAGGCACUGUACUGAGCUUGAGUACCUCCUCCGAGCUAUAAAGGUCAAAUGCAUUGCCUGCAAACAAUACUUUCCAUUCUCCUGGUUGGGGUUGCGCCAGGUGGGCGAUUGCCCAUUCAAGUGUGAAUUGCAAAACAUCGCCCCAGGCUCGAGUGCCCCAAAAAAGUUAUGUGAUGAAGAGGAAACCGAGAGACCUAUGGCCGGCAACAAUAGUAUCCAUGGGAAAAGUAAGCGAAAGGUUCAUUUUGAGGUUGGUAAAGUGGGCAAGCACAUUUUUCACG